GACGAACGCUGGCGGCGUGCCUAAUACAUGCAAGUCGAACGCAGUGGGGACGGGUGAGUAACACGUGGGUAACCUCCCAUCAGAGGGGAUAACCCUUGGAAACAGGUGCUAAACCGAUACUGAUGGAUGGACCCGCGGUGCAGUAGCUAGUUGGUGAGGUAACGACUCACCAAGGCCACGAUGCAUAGCCGACCUGAGAGGUGGAGCGGCCACACUGGGACUGAGACACGGCCCAGACUCCUACGGGAGGCAGCAGUAGGGAAUCUUCUACAAUGGACGGAAGUCUGGCCGAGCAACGCCGCGUGAAUGAAGAGGGUUUUCGAAUCGGAAUACGCUGUUUUACGAGAAGCGGUAUCUAACCAGAAAGCCACGGCUAACUACGUGCCAGCAGCCGCGGUAAUAC
rnacentral:rRNA from 1 species